CCUACGGGAGGCUGCCGUGGGGAAUAUUGGACAAUGGGGGCAACCCUGAUCCAGCCAUGCCGCGUGUGUGAAGAAGGCCCUCGGGUUGUAAAGCACUUUCAGUGAGGAAGAACGCCUGGUGGUUAAUACCCAUCAGGAAAGACAUCACUCACAGAAGAAGCACCGGCUAACUCCGUGCCAGCAGCCGCGGUAAUACGGAGGGUGCGAGCGUUAAUCGGAAUUACUGGGCGUAAAGCGCGCGUAGGUGGCUUGAUAAGCCGGUUGUGAAAGCCCCGGGCUCAACCUGGGAACGGCAUCCGGAACUGCCAAGCUAGAGUGCAGGAGAGGAAGGUAGAAUUCCCGGUGUAGCGGUGAAAUGCGUAGAGAUCGGGAGGAAUACCAGUGGCGAAGGCGGCCUUCUGGACUGACACUGACACUGAGGUGCGAAAGCGUGGGUAGCAAACAGGAUUAGAUACCCUAGUAGUC
rnacentral:rRNA from 1 species